rnacentral:rRNA from 1 species
AUUGAACGCUGGCGGCAUGCCUUACACAUGCAAGUCGAACGGCAGCGGGGGAGAAGCUUGCUUUUCCUGCCGGCGAGUGGCGAACGGGUGAGUAAUACAUCGGAACGUGCCCUGUAGUGGGGGAUAACUAGUCGAAAGAUUAGCUGAUACCGCACACGACCUGAGGGUGAAAGUGGGGGACCGCAAGGCCUCAUGCUAUAGGAGCGGCCGAUGUCUGAUUAGCUAGUUGGUGGGGUAAAGGCCUACCAAGGCGACGAUCAGUAGCUGGUCUGAGAGGACGAUCAGCCACACUGGGACUGAGACACGGCCCAGACUCCUACGGGAGGCAGCAGUGGGGAAUUUUGGACAAUGGGCGAAAGCCUGAUCCAGCAAUGCCGCGUGUGUGAAGAAGGCCUUCGGGUUGUAAAGCACUUUUGUCCGGAAAGAAAUGGCUCUGGUUAAUACCUGGGGUCGAUGACGGUACCGGAAGAAUAAGGACCGGCUAACUACGUGCCAGCCGCCGCCGUAA